rnacentral:lncRNA from 1 species
UGUGUUGAGGCAGUGUCUUCCAGACUUUUUCAAAGUUAUUAAAUAAUCGAUUGUGAGUAUAUAACAAUCGAUUGUCAAGAGGCAAUGUCUAAAAUGAUUUUCAAAGUCUGAUAAAUAAAUGAUUGUUAACAUUGCACAAUCGAUUGUGAAGCUGACCGAUGUCGUAAAGUUUUCAAAUACCGCCAGGUAAUCGAUUAUUGAUUUUGUACAAUCG